rnacentral:rRNA from 2 species
GCAUAUCAAUAAGCGGAGGAAAAGAAACUAACAAGGAUUCCCCUAGUAACUGCGAGUGAAGAGGGAAAAGCUCAAAUUUAAAAUCUGGCAGUCUUUGAUUGUCCGAGUUGUAAUUUAGAGAAGUGUUACCCGCGCUGGACCGUGUAUAAGUCUCCUGGAAUGGAGCGUCAUAGAGGGUGAGAAUCCCGUCUUUGACACGGACUACCAGGGCAUUGUGGUGCGCUCUCGAAGAGUCGAGUUGUUUGGGAAUGCAGCUCUAAAUGGGUGGUAAAUUCCAUCUAAAGCUAAAUAUUGGCGAGAGACCGAUAGCGAACAAGUACCGUGAGGGAAAGAUGAAAAGAACUUUGGAAAGAGAGUUAAACAGUACGUGAAAUUGCUGAAAGGGAAACGCUUGAAGUCAGUCGCGUUGGCCAGGGAUCAGCCUUGCUUCUGUGAGGUGUACUUCCUGGUUGACGGGUCAGCAUCAGUUUCGACCACUGGAAAAAGGCUUGGGGAAUGUGGCACCUCCGGGUGUGUUAUAGCCCCUUGUUGUAUACAGCGGUUGGGACUGAGGAACUCAGCACGCCGCAAGGCCGGGAUUCGUCCACGUUCGUGCUUAGGAUGCUGGCAUAAUGGCUUUAAGCGACCCGUCUUGAAAACACGGACCAA